rnacentral:lncRNA from 1 species
CUGUCUCUACAUCUGUAAUAUCCGUAUCUACAUCUGUAAUAUCCGUAACAGGGUAUGGAACUCAAUAUCGAUCUGAAACUGGAAGGAAGGGGUGGGUGCUCCAUAGCUUCAACUGAUACUGCUUAUAGCCAACAUCGGCUAUGGAUCACGCCCAUCAUCAUAAGGGCUGGCUGGCUUAUCGAAGACUGAAUCUCGCUCAACCUCAAUUCUCGGAGAGGUAAGAAAGUAUUGGAGGCGAGUGGGUUGGUGGUAAGUGAGGACGAGGUGACGGACUAAGCGGGACUUUUUAUCACAAGAUCGCUCAUCGCUCAGAUCCUUAUUUCAAAAUUAAGGAUUAAGAUAGUUACAAAAAAAAGUCAUAAAUAGAAUAAAAUGUGGAGGAUCCCGAAUCCCGGGGAUCCCGAGGCGGCUCCCAAAUAAGACGCUAACUUUUAAAUAACUAUGAAAUACAGCAAUUCCCAACAUUAUCACGAUUCAAGAAAGUUAUAUCCGUCAAGGUCGGCAUCUCGGAUUCCCUUGUUCCGGAUAUCGGCAAAGAAAAAAUCUGCCCGUUGUUUGACGUAGUUGUUAUCUGGGCUUUCGGCUAUCACUUGCAAGAUAUUCAGUAGUCCGUCUUCUUUACUUUUUUUUUUUCGCAAUGAGUUCAAAGACCCGGCGCGCGCGCCUUGUUGUGGGACGGCAUCGGUCCC